rnacentral:rRNA from 1 species
GAUGAACGCUGGCGGCGUGCCUAAUACAUGCAAGUCGAGCGAACGGACGAGAAGCUUGCUUCUCUGAUGUUAGCGGCGGACGGGUGAGUAACACGUGGAUAACCUACCUAUAAGACUGGGAUAACUUCGGGAAACCGGAGCUAAUACCGGAUGAUAUUUUGAACCGCAUGGUUCAAAAGUGAAAGACGGCCUUGCUGUCACUUAUAGAUGGAUCCGCGCUGCAUUAGCUAGUUGGUAAGGUAACGGCUUACCAAGGCAACGAUGCAUAGCCGACCUGAGAGGGUGAUCGGCCACACCGGAACUGAGACACGGUCCAGACUCCUACGGGAGGCAGCAGUAGGGAAUCUUCCGCAAUGGGCGAAAGCCUGACGGAGCAACGCCGCGUGAGUGAUGAAGGUCUUCGGAUCGUAAAACUCUGUUAUUAGGGAAGAACAUAUGUGUAAGUAACUGUGCACAUCUUGACGGUACCUAAUCAGAAAGCCACGGCUAACUACGUG